rnacentral:rRNA from 1 species
AUAACGGCGUCGAGCGGCGGACGGGUGAGUAAUGCCUAGGAAAUUGCCCUGAUGUGGGGGAUAACCAUUGGAAACGAUGGCUAAUACCGCAUAAUGCCUACGGGCCAAAGAGGGGGACCUUCGGGCCUCUCGCGUCAGGAUAUGCCUAGGUGGGAUUAGCUAGUUGGUGAGGUAAGGGCUCACCAAGGCGACGAUCCCUAGCUGGUCUGAGAGGAUGAUCAGCCACACUGGAACUGAGACACGGUCCAGACUCCUACGGGAGGCAGCAGUGGGGAAUAUUGCACAAUGGGCGCAAGCCUGAUGCAGCCAUGCCGCGUGUGUGAAGAAGGCCUUCGGGUUG